rnacentral:ribozyme from 16 species
CUAGGGAAUGGAAUCAUGUUUCUUUAUCUUUUUUUUUUUUUUUUUUUUUUUUUCAGAUUCCUUUU